AGUGAACGCUGGCGGUAGGCCUAACACAUGCAAGUCGAACGGCAGCACAGUAAGAGCUUGCUCUUACGGGUGGCGAGUGGCGGACGGGUGAGGAAUACAUCGGAAUCUACUUUUUCGUGGGGGAUAACGUAGGGAAACUUACGCUAAUACCGCAUACGACCUACGGGUGAAAGCAGGGGAUCUUCGGACCUUGCGCGAUUGAAUGAGCCGAUGUCGGAUUAGCUAGUUGGCGGGGUAAAGGCCCACCAAGGCGACGAUCCGUAGCUGGUCUGAGAGGAUGAUCAGCCACCCCUGAACUGAGACACGGUCCAGACUCCUACGGGAGGCAGCAGUGGGGAAUAUUGGACAAUGGGCGCAAGCCUGAUCCAGCCAUACCGCGUGGGUGAAGAAGGCCUUCGGGUUGUAAAGCCCUUUUGUUGGGAAAGAAAAGCAGCAGGUUAAUACCCCGCUGUUCUGACGGUACCCAAAGAAUAAGCACCGGCUAACUUCGUG
rnacentral:rRNA from 1 species